AAUGUUUCCAAAAUCAUUUCAGUGGUUCAUCAACUUGUAACAGGGUGAACGGCACUUCUACCUUUGCUUUGCGGCCCUCUACCGGCUAUAACAGCACUAUGCAAGUUUGCCAGAUCGGGUAGUGGUCUGUAGUUCCAAUGAGACAUAAUGAGACAAUUCUGCUUUCAACCGGUAGGG